rnacentral:rRNA from 1 species
GACGAACGCUGGCGGCGUGCUUAACACAUGCAAGUCGAACGGAAAGGCCCUGCUUUUGUGGGGUGCUCGAGUGGCGAACGGGUGAGUAACACGUGAGUAACCUGCCCUUGACUUUGGGAUAACUUCAGGAAACUGGGGCUAAUACCGGAUAGGAGCUCCUGCUGCAUGGUGGGGGUUGGAAAGUUUCGGCGGUUGGGGAUGGACUGGCCGCUUAUCAGCUUGGUGGUGGGGUAGGGGAUUACCAAAGCUUUGACGGGUAGCGGGCCUGAGAGGGGCACCGGACCAAUUGGGACUGAGAUACGGCACAGACUACUCCGGGAGGCAGCAGUGGGGAAUAUUGCACAAUGGGCGGAAGCCUGACGCAGCACCGCCGCGUGGGGGAUGACGGCCUUCGGGUUGUAAACCGCUUUCGCCUGUGCCGAAGCGUGAGUGACGGUACUGGGUAAAGAAGCACCGGCUAACUACGUG